UAGCCUGCUGUUACGUUAUAGUAGGUGUUUUCUGCCCGGUGAGAUUUUAACGGCCGCGGUACUCUGACCGUGCAAAGGUAGCAUAAUCAUUUGCUUCUUAAUUGGGGGCUUGUAUGAAAGAAAGUAUGAAUGUCUAGCUGUCUCCUCUCGAAAAAAAAAUUUUCUUUUGUUGUGAAGAAGCAACAAUGCCAAAAAAAGACAAGAAGACCCUAUCGAGCUUUACUCUAGAAAUUAAAAGGCUGUGAGAUAUUAAUUAAAUCACAAAAAAUUUUGUGAGUUUCGUUGGGGCGACGAAAAAAGAUAAAAAUCUUUUUUUUUAAAAAAACUUUUCUGUUAAAAAAAGAGCGGCUUUUUAGCCAUUAUAGGAAAAAGUUACCGUAGGGAUAACAGCGUAAUUUUUUUAGAGAGCUCAAAUCGAAAAAAAAGAUUGCGACCUCGAUGUUGACUUGUCGUUCCCUCUUGGUGUAGUGGUUAUAAGGGUUGGUCUGUUCGACCAUUAAAACGAC
rnacentral:rRNA from 1 species